ACACACCUUUAAGGUGUGCUGCUGUAACACGCCUUAAGAUGUGCUACAGUAACACACCAUAAGGCGUGCUACAGCAACACACCUUAAAGUAACUUAAGGCAUGCUGCUGUAACACACCUGAUUGAUUAACCUUAGAAAUCAAUAAAGAUAUUUUUGAGUCAAAAUAAUUUAUUAUCCCUCUAUAUAUAAGGUAUACAGUAUUAUAAUAGGAAAGACAAUUUGCUUUAGCAUAUAUAAUGAUACAUUCGUACGCUCGAUAACAUUCUUUGAAUGCAGUUCUAAGUUCAAAUUUUUCCUGAUGAUAUCAUGGGAACAUGUGUAUAAUAUGAUGGAUUGCAAGAUGUUGCAAAUAGCCAAUAUUAAAUAUAGGAGACAAUCAAGAGCCUACUCUAGUAAGGCAAUAAUAGCAGACUGAUUACUGGGUUUUUGUAGAUAAAUAUUUCAAAUGGAAACUGUACAGUUAACAUGUGUUUCAUAGAACUAACUGAGAGCAUAUUUCGCUCUCUACUCUAGUUUAAUACAUUAUUACAAAACCUGGCUGAAUUGUAAUCAUGACCCAACGUUUCGACACUCCAGUCUAGUGUCUUCAUCAGGGGUGAUCUAAAGUUGCAAUUGUGGCUUCUUAAAUACCCAAGGGAUGACGUCACCUGCCAAUGAGAUGCAUGUAAUAUUAAGGUUGCCUUAAAACCCUAUUUGACAUUAAGCCAUAUUUUUGCAAAGCCAAAAGAUCCUGUUAAAACAAAUCAGAAAACUCAUACUGUAUAUUCUAUACCAUGCGGUGACUGUGAGAAAGAGUAUUUGGGUCAGUGUAACCACCAGUUUCGUACAUGGCUAAAAGAACAUCAAAAGACCGUUUCGACUUUAAUUAAACAAGGGAAAAUCAGCUUUAGCAGAACAUGUGUGUGACACCAAACACAAGAUUGUAUGGGAAAACUCUAAAGUAAUUGCCACAAACAAUCGCUAUGGUCAAAGACUUUGCCUAGAAGCAUGACAUAUAAAUAUGAGUAAUUACGCUGUGAAUAGGGAUAACGGUGAAUAUUUGCCAGAGGAAUACAUGCAUCUCAUUGGCAGGUGAUGUCAUCCCUUGGGUAUUUAAGAAACCACAAUUGCAACCUUAGAUCACCCCUAUAGAAGACACUAGACUGGAGUGUCAAAACGUUGGGUCUUGAUUACAAUUCGACUGGGCUUUGUAAUCAUUUAUUUAAACCAGAGUAGCGAGCAAAACACGAUUGAUAUACCUGGUUGCAGUGAACGAACAAACUUCAAAUAACUGAGAGCAAUUGCAAGUCUGCCAGCACGAACUGAACCUGCAGCCCUGCAAUUCUACUGCAGCCCUCCGACUUAAAGUGUCUGUUUGCCAAGAGGUCACCACAAGUUGCUGCACAUAUAUAAACCAUGGUGGUGUCAGUGGUAGUAUUAUUAUAUAUAAUAAAUAAACUGGGAUGACACUAGUAUUAUAUACAUAAACUCUCGGUGACCUCCAUUGACUCUUGGGGCUUAAUGUACUCUUUGCAAUUAAGGACUAAGGAGCUGAUCUGAAUCACAGGGGUUCCAUUCCCGGCACAACAGCUAUUACAUAGUUAUUGUUCAAUAUUUCCAUCUACAGAAAGACUUUAACCCAUUGAGUGGCAGCAUACCUGACAUUGGACACAAAAUAAUAAUAUAAUAAAGUAGAGCACAUUGCCACUUAAAGGGUUAAACAUUCUGUUCAAUCUUGAAUAUUUACAAGUAAAAUACACUGCGUGCAUUAUCAGUACUCAAUCAAGCAUAUAUAUGUCGUGCAAGUUCAUUAGUUAAAUUUUAGUACAAAACAAGCUGUAGUAUACCACCAGUCGGCAACUCCUAGUCCUCCUUUCCUUGCGUGGUUUGGUAAUCCAUAAACAUGCUCUCCAGCAAAAGAAUAACAUUUUCCAAAUAGACCAUAAAGUACUUAGAAUGCCAUCAAUGAUUAUAUAUAUAUAUUGCCACUUGUUUAGAUGACUUGCCUUCUCCUGCGAUGCUUCGAUAACUUUUCAUUCAGCAUCACAAGAUAUAAUGAAUCCAUAUUAAAUACA
rnacentral:lncRNA from 1 species